CAGAGGUAGCCACAGAACAGAAACAGGGCUGAGAGAGAGGGAGAGAAACAGGGGAGAAAGGUUAACAGACAGAAAAAAAGAGGGUGAAAAUAAAAGCUCAGUAAGAUCCAGAUUAGCGAGGCGAACUCCACAAAGUGUUUGAUGAGAAACUCUGGACUCGAUCGCCGUGUUUACGCCGAAGAGAUGACUGGCCGCUAUGUCAGAGAAUUUGAUGAGAAGCCAAACCCCCCGCGGGAAUCUCUUCAUCCAGGCCACUGCUGAAUAGAGUGAGAUCGAGAGGAGCAGCUCAGUCACUAAGGGGAAGAGAAGGCAGAAGUUUGGCUCUCCCGGUGCGAUGUGGCAGCUUGGCUUUUUGCGGACGGCGAGAAGAAAAUGAAGGAGAAAAGUCAAAGCUGGACAGUGCGCUAGGUCAAUCAUUAAGAGGGUUUUUAUUUUCUCAUUGAAUCGCUGAGAGAAGAACCAAGAAUUCAAGAAGUUGAAGAAGCAGCGGGACGGACUGUGGAAAUGUUAGUGUGGUGUCUCCUGGUUUGUAUCUGGUGGGACUCAGCCGUCUCUCAGAUCCGCUACUCGGUGCCCGAGGAGCAGGAGCAUGGCACCUUCGUGGGCAACAUCGCCGAGGACUUGGGGCUGGACGUGACCAAGCUGGCGGCGCGCCGCUUCCAGACGGUAGCCAGCUCCCGGUCCCCUCACCUGGAGGUGAACCUGGAGAACGGGGUCCUGUUCGUUAACGAGAAGAUCGACCGGGAGGAACUGUGCAAGCAGAACCCGAGCUGCCUGCUGCACCUCGAGGUCUUCCUGGAGAACCCGCUGGAGCUCUUCCGAGUCGAGAUCGAGAUCGUGGACAUUAACGACAACCCCCCUGCCUUCCCGGAGGCCGACCUGACGGUGGAAAUCUCCGAGAGCGCGUCGGCCGGUACCCGCUUACCGCUGGAGAGCGCUUUCGACCCGGACGUGGGCAGCAACUCGCUGCGGACCUACCAAAUCACCCCGAACGGCUACUUCGACCUGGAUGUGCAGACCCAAGGGGACGGUAACAAGUUCGCCGAGCUGGUGUUGGAGAAGCCGCUGGACCGAGAGCAGCAGGCGCUGCACCGGUACGUGCUGACCGCAGUAGACGGCGGCUUGCCCCAGCGUACCGGCACCGCCCUGCUCACCGUCAGGGUGCUCGACUCCAAUGAUAACGUGCCGGUGUUUGGCCAGCCGGUGUACACCGUGAGCCUGGAGGAGAACUCACCUCCCGGUACCCUGCUGCUGCAACUCAACGCCACCGACCGGGACGAGGGUAAGAACGGAGAGGUGGUCUACUCGUUCAGUAGCCACGUGUCGGCCCGGGUUAAGGAGCUAUUCAGCUUGGAGCCCCGUACCGGUUGGCUGGAGGUGAAGGGAGAUGUAGAUUACGAGGAGAGCAGUUUGCACCAGCUCUACGUGCAGGCCAAAGACCUGGGCCCGAACGCGGUACCGGCUCACUGCAAGGUGCUGGUGCGGGUCACCGACGUGAACGACAACGCUCCGGAGAUCAGCUUCAGCACCGUGUCCGAGGCGGUGAGCGAAGCGGCGGCACCGGGUACCGUGGUAGCUCUGCUGAGCGUCACCGAUCGAGACUCGGGAGACAACGGGCAGCUGCACUGUGAGAUCCUGGGCCAGGUCCCCUUCCAGCUCAAGUCCUCCUUCAAGAACUACUACACGGUGGUGACGGACGGGCCGCUGGACCGGGAGCAAGGAGACUCGUACACCAUCACGGUGCUCGCCCGGGACCACGGCUCGCCUCCGCUGGCCUCCAGCAAGUCCAUCAGGGUACAAGUAGGGGAUGAGAACGACAACGCGCCGCGGUUCUCCGAGGCUUCCUACGACGUGUAUGUGAGUGAGAAUAACGUGCCCGGGGCGUACAUCUACGCGGUGACCGCCACCGACCCGGACCUGGGCCAGAACGCCUACAUCUCCUACUCCAUAUUGGAGUGUGACAUCCAGGGCAUGUCGGUCUUUACCUACGUCUCCAUCAACUCGGAGAACGGCUACCUCUACGCGUUACGCUCCUUUGACUACGAGCAACUAAAGGAGUUCCGCUUCACCGUGCAAGCCCUGGACUCGGGAAGCCCAGCCCUGGGCUCUAACGCCACCGUUAACAUCCUCAUCGUCGACCAGAACGACAACGCGCCUUCUAUCGUCUCUCCGGUAGCCCGGAACGGUACCUCCCGGGAGCUGGUGCCCCGCUCGGCCGAGCCCGGUUACCUGGUGGUCCGCCUGGUGGCCGUAGACGCGGACGACGGCGAGAACGCCCGCCUCACUUUCUACAUCGCCCACGGGAAUGAGCUGGGCCUCUUCCGGAUGGACUGGAGGAGCGGCGAGCUGAAGACCGCCAGGCCCUUCCCCGCCGGUAACACCGCCCCUUACGAGCUCCUGAUCGAGGUGAGAGACCACGGGCAGCCGCCACUCUCCGCCACCGCCACCGUCUUGGUGCUGGCGGUCGACAGCGCGGUGGAGCGGCCCGGGGAGAGGGGUAACCGAGCCGGGAGUCCCAAGGAGAACGCGCUGGACCUGACCCUCAUCCUGAUCAUCGCCUUGGGCUCGGUCUCCUUCGUCUUCCUCCUGGCCAUGAUCAUGUUGGCAGUCCGCUGCCAGAAGGAGAAGAAGCUGAGCCUGUUCAGUUGCUUGGCAGGGGAGGGUUGUGCUUGCUGCCGACAGGCCAGGAACCGUAAGAAGAAGCUCAGCAAGUCAGACAUCAUGCUGGUGCAGACCAGCAACGCCAACGCCGCCCAGGUCUCGGUGGAGGAAGGUGGCUUCGGACACCACAGCCAGAACUACUGCUACCAGGUCUGCCUGACCCCAGAGUCGGCCAAGACCGACCUCAUGUUCCUGAAGCCCUGCAGCCCGUCCAGGAGCACGGACGCUGAGCACAACCCCUGUGGCGCCAUCAUCACUGGCUACACUGACCAACAGCCCGACAUCAUUUCCAAUGGGAGUAUAUUAUCCAACGAGACAAAACAUCAGCGGACCGAACUCAGCUUUCUAGUGGACAGACCCCGUCGAGUUAACAGUUCGGCUUUCCAGGAGGCGGAUAUAGUGAGUUCGAAGGAUAGUGGCCACGGGGACAGCGAACAGGGGGACAGUGAUCACGAUGCCACCAACCGAGCUCAGAACUCUGGCCGUUCACCGAGGUGCAUCCUCCUCCAGCUGGGGGAGAGCAGGACGGUCCAGGAUUCAGACUUCUCUACGACUGCCGUCAAUGCAGCUCUGUGAGCGGCUGGCAGGAGGUGCGAUUUGAGCAGGGCAUUGGGAGAAUCUUAUAUUCCGUUACGCCUGGGAUAUGUCACAUGGCCCAGAUUAACCUAAUGCUGAAAAAGGAAGGGGAAAAUACAUAUUUAAAGAGCUGAUCUCUUUUCCAAUUGCACAGAAGAGUGUAAAGCACUGGGACACUCAGAUCGUUGUUGGAUGCCCACCUUUGUACCCACAGAUGGCCGCCAAGGUCCUGACUA